rnacentral:rRNA from 1 species
CCCGAAGGUAUCCUGAAUCUUUCGCAUUGUUAAUCAUACAAGUGCAUAUAAUAAACACAAAAAUCAAUGAUAAUUAUGCCAUUAUAUAAUUCCGAAAAAUUAACGCACUGUAUUCAUAUAAAUCUAUCAGUACUUUAUCAAAUUUAUGACAUUCAUUUUAUGUUAAAAUGCAAGCAUUUUAAUUUAAAUAAGCAUUUAUCUAAAACUUUUUGAUAAAUUAUUUGUUACUAAUAGAUUACAAUGUCCUUAUAUGGAAAAAAUG